GAAGCGCUAACUGGAGAGCAGUCUGGUGAGGACGGAUGCAGUUUGUGUCGAGGAAGCGCUAACUGGAGAGCAGUCUGAGAUGGAGUCCAUUUAGCCGAUCAGCUCAAAGGAAGGGCAGGAAGAGGAGACUUGUCUGGUUGUCCUCCAAUCGGUUUUGAGCAGGAGGUGAGAGAGGAUGUAACACUUCUCUUGGUGGAAGGAGAAGAGGACCAAGGUGCAGCAAUAGCAGUGAAGAUGUAAGGCCUCAUGAGGUUGGGUCUCAAAGGGAAGGAAGGCCUCGUCAUCGACAAAGACGUGGGGAACAGGUCCCAGGUCUUCAACCCCAGGGAGUGAUGCAGGUGGUAGAAUCUCCAGGAUGCCAUCCUGAAGUGCCUGGCCGAAGGCAGAGUCCCGGGGGGUCCCGCCAUCACUUCCCUUGCCGUAAGCACCAACAUCGACCACACGGAAACAGUAGAAGGCAUCUACAACAGCCAAGAGUACAACUGAAUAUGUACCCUUGUAGUUGUAGACUUGCGAAUCCGAGUACAGUGGAGCCUGGAUUACUACAUUUCCCAGCAAUGGAGCCAAGACAGUUGGGGAAACUCCACCUCUCCAGGAACUAGUCAGCGAUGGCCCUCCAGUCUUCCUCCUUGGGGACAGGCAUGUAUUCACCAACCACAGUCCCAAAUGGCUUGUGCCACAGGGGGGGCAAUGCAUGCCACCGUGGACCGUCCAACUCCGAAGCUGAAUCCAAUGGUCCUGUAGGAGUCUCCUGUCACCAGUAAUCUGAAAUAUAAUUUAAAAUAGUGUGUAACUUGAAAUUCAACCCACAUAUUCUACUACAUUAGUUUAUUAUGCUCUACUAAUUAUAUUGUAAUACUCACAAUGCCUUGAAACAGUACAAUUCAAUCUACGACUAUCAAUAAACUGUAUCCCAGCCUAACUCUUACCACCGU